rnacentral:rRNA from 1 species
CCUACGGGAGGCAGCAGUGGGGAAUAUUGCACAAUGGGCGCAAGCCUGAUGCAGCAACGCCGCGUGGGGGAUGACGGCCUUCGGGUUGUAAACCUCUUUUAGCAGGGAAGAAGCGGAAGUGACGGUACCUGCAGAAAAAGCACCGGCUAACUACGUGCCAGCAGCCGCGGUAAU